UUCUUGAAAAUUAAAAAAGAUGGCGGUAUUUUAGUCUGUUCAGAGGAAUCUGCCCUGUAAUUGAUAUUCCACGAUUUAAUUUAUUUAAGUUUUUAGCUCAUAUAUCGCUGUGGUUUGAAUAUUUCUGUUGAAUUUUAAAUAUUCAAUAAUUUGAGAGAAGGGAAAUCAAGUCAAGAUGUGGCCUAUAUUUAAAGAGAGGUGGAUUACAUUGUUUAUAUUUUGGUUAGUAAUUUGAAAAGGUUUCUAUAAAUUGGAUUUGAGAGUAAUUUUUAAUUAAGAUUUUAAAGAUGAUAAUAGCUCUAAAAUAUGUACAUAUCGCCCGUCGCUUUCAUUAUAAAAUGAAAUAAGUCGUAACAUAGUAGAGGUACUGGAAAGUGUUUCUAGAAGACAAAUUAAAGCUUUAAGAAGCUUUUUAUUUACACUAAAAGGAUUGUUUGAUAUAAAUAUGAUUUGAGGGAUUAAAUAUCUUGAAUUUAAAAUUAUAAAUAAAUUAAUUGAAAUGUAAUAAUUUAAAGUAAAAUUUAUUGAAAAAAUUAUAUUAGAGAUAAAGUAUUAGUACUGUAAGGGAAUAAUAUAUUGAAUGAAAAGAAAAAUUUUUAUUUUGUACCUUGUGUAUCAGGGUUUAUUUAAUAUUAAUUAAGGUUUUAAUGAUCUCGAAUUUGGAGGAGUUAUUUAUUUAUAUUUUUACUGUGGCAGUAGUAUUAUUAAUAAUUAAAUGGUAGUGAAACGCUAUGCGACUUUAAAUAUAUCUGGUUUUUUAAGAAAAAAAUUAAAUUUUACCUUAUUUAUAAAAUAUUAUUUUUAGUUUUUAAAAUAAUAUUUAGUAGGAUUAAUAAUUUAGGGGAUGAGCUUUAAAUUAAAUUUAUACAAUAUGUGUAAGUGUUAAAUAUUAAUAAUAGGAUUAAAAGUUUCUGCAAAGUGAUUUAUAUCUUAAUUUUGUUAUUUUAAGAUUUAUUACAAUUAUUUUAUAUUGUUUAUUAAAAUUUAAGUUAAAAUGAUAAUAAUUUAGUAAAAAUGAUAAAAUUAGUAUAAUUGGAAAUUAUUAAUUUAAGUUAAAUUUGAGGUUUAAUUAAGGAAUUCGGCAAAUAAUUUUCCACCUGUUUAUUAAAAACAUGUCCUUUUGAGUAUAAUUUAAGGUCUGGCCUGCCCACUGAAAAAUUAAAUGGCCGCAGUAAAUUGACUGUGCAAAGGUAGCAUAAUCAUUAGUUUUUUAAUUGAAAGCUUGUAUGAAGGGUUAAAUGAGAAAAUUUCUGUCUCAAUUAAAAUUUAUUAGAAUUUUAUUAUUUUGUUAAAAGGCGAAAAUUUACGUAAAAGACGAGAAGACCCUAUAGAGUUUUAUAAUUUAGUUAAAAGUAAUUAUUAGAAUAUUU
rnacentral:rRNA from 1 species